GUUAUCACUUAUUUUACCAGUGAAUUAACCAAGAUUCAUGCUUACAUAUUCGAUAAAUCUUCGAUGGACUAACUACACACGUAAUUAACGUUUCGAACCUUGCAACUGACUCUUUUAAAGAACAUUACCUGUCUGUUGGAAGGACAGUUGAUAAUCAAAAAGUAUUUCUAUAAUGAAGAACUGUUUACUUAAAUGAUUUUAAAAUUCAUUGCAACCAUGUCCACACUUAGACAAUGAUCAUUUAACUUUAGCAACUUAAUUAUAGCCAUACUUGUUUUUCGGAUUAUGAACGGUUUAUACGCCGUAAAAGUCCGCAAUUGAAUUUCGUAUCUUCCAGUUAAAAUACAGAAUUUAGGCUGUGCUGCUAACGAAGAAAAGUACUUGCAAUCUAGUAUGAAAAUACGUUAUACAUUAAAAAUAAGUUUCAUUGAGAACUGUUGGCAAUUAAGCAAUUUAUGUUUAAUAGCAAUAUUUGUAAAUGCAAGGGUAACUUACAGAGUUUGAUGCUAUAUAUAUCAUUAUUGAAGGGAUUCUGAAAAAAUAGAACUAAACAGUCAUAAUUGAAUCUUUGCAUACCGCUUUUUUGUCAAGAUAUAUGCCAUCAAAGUACAAAUUAAUUAAUAUUAUAUUAAACAGAAUUAGUGUCGAUUUAUUAUCAUCGAUAAUAUGCGUUCAAAGUCAAUAAAGUAUCUAUAACAAACAAAUUAAGAAUGGUCGUGUAUUAUUUUUCCUUUGCGGGAAUUACCUUUGUUGUUAAAUGUACUCAAGGAACACUAAAGGAAAGAAAGACCUAGCUCAAAAGACAGCAGGAAGGAGCAAACUGUGCGUGACGAUCGCUAAAAUAAAAAAUUAAAUUACUCCUUACCAAAU